UACAGAGGGGGCAAGCGUUACUCGGAAUUAUUGGGCGUAAAGGGCGCGUAGGCGAUUUGAAAAGUCUUGUGUGAAAGCCCCGAGCUUAACUCGGGAAGUGCACAAGAAACUGUUGAAUUUGAGUUCCGGAGAGGAAGGCAGAAUUCCCGGUGUAGCGGUGAAAUGCGUAGAGAUCAUGAGGAAGACCAGUGGCGAAGGCGGGUCUCUGGACAGUUCCUGACACUGAGACACGAAGGCCAGGGGAGCAAACGGG
rnacentral:rRNA from 1 species